AUUGAACGCUGGCGGCAGGCCUAACACAUGCAAGUCGAACGGUAACAGGAAGAAGCUUGCUUCUUUGCUGACGAGUGGCGGACGGGUGAGUAAUGUCUGGGAAACUGCCUGAUGGAGGGGGAUAACUACUGGAAACGGUAGCUAAUACCGCAUGACGUCGCAAGACCAAAAAGGGGGACCUUCGGGCCUCUUGCCAUCGGAUGUGCCCAGAUGGGAUUAGCUAGUAGGUGGGGUAACGGCUCACCUAGGCGACGAUCCCUAGCUGGUCUGAGAGGAUGACCAGCCACACUGGAACUGAGACACGGUCCAGACUCCUACGGGAGGCAGCAGUGGGGAAUAUUGCACAAUGGGCGCAAGCCUGAUGCAGCCAUGCCGCGUGUAUGAAGAAGGCCUUCGGGUUGUAAAGUACUUUCAGCGGGGAGGAAGGGAGUAAAGUUAAUACCUUGGCUCAUUGACGUUACCCGCAGAAGAAGCACCGGCUAACUCCGUG
rnacentral:rRNA from 1 species